rnacentral:rRNA from 1 species
UGCAUGAAGUUGGAAUUGCUAGUAAUCGCGAAUCAGAAUGUCGCGGUGAAUACGUUCCCGGGCCUUGUACACACCGCCCGUCACACCAUGAGAGUCGAUAACACCCGAAGCCUGUGAGCUAACCGCAAGGGGGCAGCAGUCGAAGGCGGGGUUGAUGAUUGGGGUGAAGUCGUAACAAGGUACC